rnacentral:rRNA from 1 species
AGAGUUUGAUCAUGGCUCAGGAUGAACGCUAGCUACAGGCUUAACACAUGCAAGUCGAGGGGAAACGAUAUUGGAAGCUUUCUUCCGAUAGGCGUCGACCGGCGCACGGGUGAGUAACGCGUAUCCAACCUGCCCAUCACUUGGGGAUAACCUUGCGAAAGUAAGACUAAUACCCAAUGACGUCUCUAGAAGACAUCUGAAGGAGAUUAAAGAUUUAUCGGUGAUGGAUGGGGAUGCGUCUGAUUAGCUUGUUGGCGGGGUAACGGCCCACCAAGGCAACGAUCAGUAGGGGUUCUGAGAGGAAGGUCCCCCACAUUGGAACUGAGACACGGUCCAAACUCCUACGGGAGGCAGCAGUGAGGAAUAUUGGUCAAUGGGCGAGAGCCUGAACCAGCCAAGUAGCGUGCAGGAAGACGGCCCUAUGGGUUGUAAACUGCUUUUAUAAGGGAAUAAAGUUGUCCACGUGUGGAUUUUUGUAUGUACCAUAUGAAUAAGGAUCGGCUAACUCCGUGCCAGCAGCCGCGGUAAUACGGAGGAUCCGAGCGUUAUCCGGAUUUAUUGGGUUUAAAGGGAGCGUAGGCGGAUUGUUAAGUCAGUUGUGAAAGUUUGCGGCUCAACCGUAAAAUUGCAGUUGAUACUGGCAGUCUUGAGUGCAGUAGAGGUGGGCGGAAUUCGUGGUGUAGCGGUGAAAUGCUUAGAUAUCACGAAGAACUCCGAUUGCGAAGGCAGCUCACUGGAGUGUAACUGACGCUGAUGCUCGAAAGUGUGGGUAUCAAACAGGAUUAGAUACCCUGGUAGUCCACACAGUAAACGAUGAAUACUCGCUGUUUGCGAUAUACAGUAAGCGGCCAAGCGAAAGCAUUAAGUAUUCCACCUGGGGAGUACGCCGGCAACGGUGAAACUCAAAGGAAUUGACGGGGGCCCGCACAAGCGGAGGAACAUGUGGUUUAAUUCGAUGAUACGCGAGGAACCUUACCCGGGCUUAAAUUGCAAAUGAAUUAUGGGGAAACCCAUAGGCCGUAAGGCAUUUGUGAAGGUGCUGCAUGGUUGUCGUCAGCUCGUGCCGUGAGGCGUCGGCUUAAGUGCCAUAACGAGCGCAACCCUUAUCUUCAGUUACUAACAGGUCAUGCUGAGGACUCUGGAGAGACUGCCGUCGUAAGAUGUGAGGAAGGUGGGGAUGACGUCAAAUCAGCACGGCCCUUACGUCCGGGGCUACACACGUGUUACAAUGGGGGGUACAGAAGGCCGCUACCUGGUGACAGGAUGCCAAUCCCAAAAACCUCUCUCAGUUCGGAUCGAAGUCUGCAACCCGACUUCGUGAAGCUGGAUUCGCUAGUAAUCGCGCAUCAGCCAUGGCGCGGUGAAUACGUUCCCGGGCCUUGUACACACCGCCCGUCAAGCCAUGAAAGCCGGGGGUACCUGAAGUACGUAACCGCAAGGAGCGUCCUAGGGUAAAACUGGUAAUUGGGGCUAAGUCGUAACAAGGUA